ACGAAAUAAUUUUAUCUUUGGUACUAUAUUGAUGUUUAGUCUGUUCUGCUGCAGCUGAGAAGUACGCAGUUCUAGUGGUGCAACAGUAGAAAAUUUUUGUGCAAUAGAAGCGCAACGGUAGUUGUGUAGUAUGUCGUUGAUCAGAGGGCUUUCAAAAACUUUGCGGCCGUCACUCCUGAAAGUGCGGUGCACAAGUACUCCAGCAUUGUAUUAUCAUGAAAAAGUAUUGGAUCACUACGAAAACCCAAGAAAUGUGGGAUCACUGGACAAGAAUGACAGCAGAGUUGGGACCGGGUUGGUUGGUGCUCCGGCGUGCGGUGAUGUCAUGAAACUUCAGAUAAAAGUGGACGAUAACGGAAAAAUUAUAGACGCCAAAUUUAAAACAUUUGGCUGCGGCUCAGCAAUUGCUUCUAGCUCGUUGGCAACGGAAUGGGUCAAGGGGAAAACUUUGGAUGAAGCUCUGAAGCUGAAGAACACAGACAUUGCCAAGGAAUUACGCCUUCCGCCUGUUAAACUACAUUGUUCAAUGUUGGCAGAGGAUGCUAUAAAGGCAGCUCUAUCAGAUUACAAGAUUAAACAGGAAUCACUUUCCAAAAACAAAGGAAAAGAAUAAGGACCUAUGAUUUAAAAAAAAUAUUCAGAAAAUGAUUUUAAGAUUAAUUCAAGGUUUGUAUUUGAUGAAGCAUUGAAUAAAAAAUAAAAUACAAAAAUUUAUGAAAAUACAAUCCAUUUAUGAAGAAGCCAUGAAAUUAGUAAGCAGCUUUAUUUGGCAUAUGACAGCUGCAGUGGAUUCACAUCUGUGAUAUUUAAUUUUAAAAUUUCAUGUAAAUAUAUUGUGACUAGAUUAAUAUUCAUUAAUAUAAAGCUUAAUGCACUUGAUAUAGGUGCCUGUUUCAUGAAUGCGAUGACACAUUCUCCUUUAAGAGGAAGUAGGGGCUUUUCUCUGUAAAGUUGAAAUUUUAAGUUAUUGCAAAUGUUACCUCUGUCAUUUGCUUCUUUUACUGAAAUUUUCUUAGGAAACACAAUUAUAAAGAAAUAUAUUUGUAUGACAGUAUGUAGAAUAAAUGCUUUACACGUAA